AUUCUGGCUCAGGAUGAACGCUGGCGGCGUGCUUAACACAUGCAAGUCGAACGGGAUCCAUCAGGCUUUGCUUGGUGGUGAGAGUGGCGAACGGGUGAGUAAUGCGUGACCGACCUGCCCCAUACACCGGAAUAGCUCCUGGAAACGGGUGGUAAUGCCGGAUGCUCCGACUCCUCGCAUGGGGUGUCGGGAAAGAUUUCAUCGGUAUGGGAUGGGGUCGCGUCCUAUCAGGUAGUCGGCGGGGUAACGGCCCACCGAGCCUACGACGGGUAGCCGGCCUGAGAGGGCGACCGGCCACAUUGGGACUGAGAUACGGCCCAGACUCCUACGGGAGGCAGCAGUGGGGAAUAUUGCACAAUGGGCGCAAGCCUGAUGCAGCGACGCCGCGUGCGGGAUGACGGCCUUCGGGUUGUAAACCGCUUUUGAUCGGGAGCAAGCCUUCGGGUGAGUGUACCUUUCGAAUAAGCACCGGCUAACUACGUGCCAGCAGCCGCGGUAAUACGUAGGGUGCAAGCGUUAUCCGGAAUUAUUGGGCGUAAAGGGCUCGUAGGCGGUUCGUCGCGUCCGGUGUGAAAGUCCAUCGCUUAACGGUGGAUCUGCGCCGGGUACGGGCGGGCUGGAGUGCGGUAGGGGAGACUGGAAUUCCCGGUGUAACGGUGGAAUGUGUAGAUAUCGGGAAGAACACCAAUGGCGAAGGCAGGUCUCUGGGCCGUUACUGACGCUGAGGAGCGAAAGCGUGGGGAGCGAACAGGAUUAGAUACCCUGGUAGUCCACGCCGUAAACGGUGGAUGCUGGAUGUGGGGCCCGUUCCACGGGUUCCGUGUCGGAGCUAACGCGUUAAGCAUCCCGCCUGGGGAGUACGGCCGCAAGGCUAAAACUCAAAGAAAUUGACGGGGGCCCGCACAAGCGGCGGAGCAUGCGGAUUAAUUCGAUGCAACGCGAAGAACCUUACCUAGGCUUGACAUGCACGGCGGCACUGCAGAGAUGUGGUGGCAUUUAGUUGGUCGUGUGCAGGUGGUGCAUGGUUGUCGUCAGCUCGUGUCGUGAGAUGUUGGGUUAAGUCCCGCAACGAGCGCAACCCUCGCCCUGUGUUGCCAGCACGUCAUGGUGGGAACUCACGGGGGACCGCCGGGGUCAACUCGGAGGAAGGUGGGGAUGACGUCAGAUCAUCAUGCCCCUUACGUCCAGGGCUUCACGCAUGCUACAAUGGCCGGUACAACGGGAUGCGACACGGCGACGUGGAGCGGAUCCCUGAAAACCGGUCUCAGUUCGGAUUGGAGUCUGCAACCCGACUCCAUGAAGGCGGAGUCGCUAGUAAUCGCGGAUCAGCAACGCCGCGGUGAAUGCGUUCCCGGGCCUUGUACACACCGCCCGUCAAGUCAUGAAAGUGGGUAGCACCCGAAGCCGGUGGCCUAACCCUUUGUGGAUGGAGCCGUCUAAGGUGAGACUCGUGAUUGGGACUAAGUCGUAACAAGGUAGCCGUACCGGAAGGUGCGGCUG
rnacentral:rRNA from 1 species